ACUACGGGAGGCAGCAGUGAGGAAUAUUGGUCAAUGGACGAGAGUCUGAACCAGCCAAGUAGCGUGAAGGAUGACUGCCCUAUGGGUUGUAAACUUCUUUUAUAUGGGAAUAAAACGUUCCAAGUGUGGGAUUUUGUAUGUACCAGAUGAAUAAGGAUCGGCUAACUCCGUGCCAGCAGCCGCGGUAAUAGGGAGGAUCCGAGCGUUAUCCGGAUGUACUUGGUUUAAAGGGAGCGGCGGUGGAUUGUUAAGUCAGUUGUGUAAGUUUGCGGCUCAACCUUAAGAUUGCAGUUGAAACUGGCAGUCUUGAGUACAGUAGAGGUGAGCGGAAUUCGUGGUGUAGCGGUGAAAUGCUUAGAUAUCACGAAGAACUCCGAUUGCGAAGGCAGUUCACUGGACUGCAACUGACACUGAGGCUCGAAAGUGUGGGUAUCAAACAGGAUUAGAUACCCCAGUAGUC
rnacentral:rRNA from 1 species